GGAAUAUUGGUCAAUGGGCGCGAGCCUGAACCAGCCAAGUCGCGUGAGGGAAGACGGUCCUAUGGAUUGUAAACCUCUUUUGCCGGGGAGCAAAAAGCGGUACGCGUACCGCAUCGAGAGUACCCGGAGAAAAAGCAUCGGCUAACUCCGUGCCAGCAGCCGCGGUAAUACGGAAGGUCCGGGCGUUAUCCGGAUUUAUUGGGUUUAAAGGGAGCGUAGGCGGACUUUCAAGUCAGUGGUAAAAUCGUGUGGCUCAACCAUACCUCGCCAUUGAAACUGGAAGUCUGGAGUGCACACAGGGGUGCCGGAAUUCAUGGUGUAGCGGUGAAAUGCUUAGAUAUCAUGAAGAACUCCGAUCGCGAAGGCAAGUGCCCGGGGUGCAACUGACGCUGAGGCUCGAAGGUGCGGGUAUCGAACAGG
rnacentral:rRNA from 1 species